rnacentral:rRNA from 1 species
AACGAACGCUGGCGGCAUGCCUAACACAUGCAAGUCGAACGAGACCUUCGGGUCUAGUGGCGCACGGGUGCGUAACGCGUGGGAACCUGCCCCUUGGUUCGGGAAUAACAGUUAGAAAUGACUGCUAAUACCGGAUGAUGACUUCGGUCCAAAGAUUUAUCGCCGAGGGAUGGGCCGCGUAGGAUUAGCUAGUUGGUGGGGUAAGUGGCCUACCAAGGCGACGAUCCUUAGCUGGUCUGAGAGGAUGAUCAGCCACACUGGGACUGAGACACGGCCCAGACUCCUACGGGAGGCAGCAGUGGGGAAUAUUGGACAAAUGGGCGAAAAGCCUGAUCCAGCAAUGCCGCGUGAGUGAUGAAGGCCUUAGGGGUUGUAAAGACUCUUUACCCGGGUAUGAUAAUAGACAGUACCGGGAGAAUAAGACUCCGG